CACAAAACAGCUGAUCAAAAUCUCUUUACAUUUUAGUAUUUCGUUAAUUUUAAGUAAAAAAUUAAUUUUAAUAAAUGGAAAUUACAUUGGCGCUUCUUAAACCACAUGUUGUUCGUAAUGUCUACGCAUUUCGAGAGAUAAAACAAAUUAUACAGCAGAAUUUUACAAUACUAUACACCAAAGAAGUGCUUAUUACGAAAGAGUUGUCUGAACAUUUCUAUGCCGAGCACAAAGGAAAAUUCUUCUACAACCGACUGGUCACAUUCAUGGGCAGUGGCCCUUGUCAUGCCUUUGUUUUGCAGUCAAAAGGCAGCAUUAGUAAGUGGCGCGAGUUGAUGGGACCAACAAAGGUUUUCAAAGCUGUGUACUCACAUCCCGAUUGUAUACGUGGGUUAUAUGGUCUCUCAGAUACGCGUAAUGCAUGUCAUGGUUCCGAUAGUGAAGAAUCUGCGACCAGAGAAAUUUCUAUUUUAUUCCCCGAGUUAAAUAUAAAUCAAUUAACAGCUAUUGACAGCAAUAGUUGACGGAGGGAUUAUGUCACCCUGGAACUGUUUUGAAUGCAUUUAUUUGAGCACAUGUAGAUGUUAAAAUCCAUAAGGACAAAAAUUUCUAAAUACUAAGUAAUGUAAAUGUUAGCAAGAUUGUUAAAUUCAAUUCAACGGCGCAUGUUAUUUAAUGUAAGAUCCAUCUGUACUGUAAAAAAUUGAAAAAAAAUGUAUGUAUUGGCGACAGUUUUGAGUUAUGUAAGAGUAUUACUUUACUCCUAUGGACAAGUUAUGCAACGGUAGCUUUAAGAACAAUUUCAACAGCGACUCUUGAAGUGGUACUAAGACUGCCGCGUAGAGAGCUCUUCGCUGAAAACUGCUCAGCAAAAUCGGAGGAACGCCUAUUGACUGCAGGAGAAUUUACAUAUAGAACUUUCGGGCAUAGCUCGGUGGGUAAUGGCGGUUGGACCAACACCGACUACAUGACUCCACUUUUCAACUGGGAAAGAAGGUUGGCGUAAGGGUAUGUUAGCUAAGCGUAACGCUUUAAACAUCUAUACGGAUGGCUCGAAAAUGGACGAUGGAAUUGGUGCGAGAAUAUACUGUCUAGAGUUAGGCAUAAGGCUACCUUUAAAGUUGUCGGACCACCUGAUAAACAUUGGAAAACCCAUACAUUUUCUAUACGACGAUCUCGACAGAAGUAUGGUAAAGAAAACCAAAAACCGAUGGAACGAGCUAUAUGGCUGCAAAACUGCAAAUGUACCAAACGUCACACGUAUGCUGGAUGGGGAUGACAGAUCGAGAAGACUGCAGGAAAUGUCUAGAGCAGAGCACCAGGUACAAAAUUUAUUAUAUUUUGUCUACUUGUCCAGCAUUUGCAAGAUUACGCUGUAAG